rnacentral:rRNA from 1 species
UAAGCUUUGAUCCAGAGAUUUCCGAAUGGGGAAACCCAGCAUGAGUUAUGUCAUGUUAUCGAUAUGUGAAUACAUAGCAUAUCAGAAGGCACACCCGGAGAACUGAAACAUCUUAGUACCCGGAGGAAGAGAAAGAAAAUUCGAUUCCCUUAGUAGCGGCGAGCGAAACGGGAAGAGCCCAAACCAACAAGCUUGCUUGUUGGGGUUGUAGGACACUCUAUACGGAGUUACAAAGGACGACAUUAGACGAAUCAUCUGGAAAGAUGAAUCAAAGAAGGUAAUAAUCCUGUAGUCGAAAAUGUUGUCUCUCUUGAGUGGAUCCUGAGUACGACGGAGCACGUGAAAUUCCGUCGGAAUCUGGGAGGACCAUCUCCUAAGGCUAAAUACUCUCUAGUGACCGAUAGUGAACCAGUACCGUGAGGGAAAGGUGAAAAGCACCCCGGAAGGAGAGUGAAAUAGAACCUGAAACCGUGUGCUUACAAGUAGUCAGAGCCCGUUAAUGGGUGAUGGCGUGCCUUUUGUAGAAUGAACCGGCGAGUUACGAUUUGAUGCAAGGUUAAGCAGUAAAUGUGGAGCCGUAGCGAAAGCGAGUCUGAAUAGGGCGUUUAGUAUUUGGUCGUAGACCCGAAACCAGGUGAUCUACCCUUGGUCAGGUUGAAGUUCAGGUAACACUGAAUGGAGGACCGAACCGACUUACGUUGAAAAGUGAGCGGAUGAACUGA